GUGGGGAAUCUUCCGCAAUGGACGAAAGUCUGACGGAGCGACGCCGCGUGAGUGAUGAAGGCCUUCGGGUCGUAAAGCUCUGUCAUCGGGGACGAACGGCCUCAGCAGGUAAUGGCUGGGGAUUGACGGUACCCGAGAAGGAAGCCCCGGCUAACUCCGUGCCAGCAGCCGCGGUAAUACGGAGGGGGCUAGCGUUGUUCGGAAUUAUUGGGCGUAAAGCGCGCGCAGGUGGGAUCUUAAGUCCAUUUUUAAAGUUCGGAGCUCAACUCCGUGAUGGGAUGGAAACUGGGAUUCUUGAGUACCGGAGAGGAAAGCGGAAUUCCCCGUGUAGCGGUGAAAUGCGUAGAUAUGGGGAGGAACACCAGUGGCGAAGGCGGCUUUCUGGACGGUGUCUGACACUGAGGCGCGAAAGCGUGGGGAGCAAACAGGAUUAGAUACCCGAGUAGUCC
rnacentral:rRNA from 1 species